rnacentral:rRNA from 1 species
UACGGGGGGGGGCUAGCGUUGUUCGGAAUUACUGGGCGUAAAGGGCUCGUAGGCGGCCAACUAAGUCAGACGUGAAAUCCCUCGGCUUAACCGAGGAACUGCGUCUGAUACUGGAUGGCUGGAAUCCGGGAGAGGGAUGCGGAAUUCCAGGUGUAGCGGUGAAAUGCGUAGAUAUCUGGAGGAACACCGGUGGCGAAGGCGGCAUCCUGGACCGGCAUUGACGCUGAGGAGCGAAAGCCAGGGGAGCAAACGGG